UACGGAGGGUGCGAGCGUUGUCCGGAAUCAUUGGGCGUAAAGGGCGCGUAGGUGGCCCGGUCAGUUCGUGGUGAAAGCGCGGGGCUCAACCCUGCGUCGGCCAUGAAUACUGCCGCGGCUGGAGCACUGUAGAGGCAGGCGGAAUUCCGGGUGUAGCGGUGGAAUGCGUAGAGAUCCGGAAGAACACCAGUGGCGAAGGCGGACUCACUGGCCUGGUAUUGACGCUGAGGUGCGAAAGCGUGGGGAGCAAACAGGG
rnacentral:rRNA from 1 species